CCGGCUGCAUGCGCAGGAAGCAGAAUCCAGAAUCCACAGAGGCUGGCAGCAGACUGCAGUGGAAUUCCAGGCAAGUCAGCACCCCGCAGUCCCAACAGAGGAAGGAGGGCUCUGUGACAUAUGCAUGGGCCCAAUCGUGGGGCCCCCAAAGCAGAAGAUAAUCAGAACUUUCAACAGCAGCUGCUUUCAAGGCGACGUAUGGAGGAGCAGAUGCCUUUGCUGGAUCGUCUGCAACCAGCUGGCCAGGUUUUUACAGAUCAGACCUAGAAGUGGUGUAAACACUCCCAAUUUCAUUUCCUUGGCCACACCCACAUGAAAGGAGGCUGGGGAAUGAACAGGCACAGGAGGAAAAAGAAACAAGUUUGGUAAACACACAGCAUUCCUGCCAUAGCACCCAGACUAGAUGUCACCUCCAGGAAGGCUCCAGGACCACCCAUGAUGUGACUCGUACCUCCAUGUCCUGCCAUAGCACCCCAAGCGUUCUCUGUUGACGUUGCCUAAUCAAUUGUAUGUCUACAGAAACUGUAUCUGACUCAGCAGUGUACCCCCAGUGGCCAGGAGAAAGCCUGCCUGGCACUGGUAGGUGUUCAUGAAACGUUUGUUGAAUGAAUACAUGCAGCUCUGCCUGUGCUUCAGGUAGCAGCCACCAGAUGGCAACAGUGCUCUUUGGGUUAUGAAGGUAGGUGUGGGUGCUCUUUCUGAGAGAACACCUGAAGUAAACUGAGGUUUGUUCCCAUAAUCCAAGCACGUGGGGAAUCUUCUGUGAAAUGUAUCAGUUCAUUGAAAUAACCACAACAUCAUUUCUCAAGCUAGCCUCUCUAAGGAAAAUACAGCAAAUGAAAUGCCAUAAAGAAAGGAAGAGGGAGAGGGAACGCUCCAUUGAGCGUUCCAGUCCUUGGUACCAUUCUCCACGUGACCUCAGUGCGGAACUAUUUAACUCAAAGACCCGAGAAUAUCCGUUCAGAUUCCUGAGCACUUGAUGUGUCUGAAGCUGUCCCAGCCUGACACCCCGGUGACUGCCUGUACCUGUUCCGGGUUCACUGGCUCUCAUUUUACUUGUUUAUCUUAUCGGGGUUUUACCAGUAGACCAGUUUGGCUAGAGGGUUCAUAACUAAGGCUGGUGAGAGAUAAGGUUGGAGCAGUAGGGAGGGGCUGCAGGAGGAAGCCUCUGGACACCAGGCUGAGGAGUGUGGACUUUACCCCCAUGAGGCAGAGUAGCUGGAAAGGAUGCUGGUGUCAUGCACACGUGUUCAUGCGUGUGCGGGCAGGCAGGUGGGCACGCACGUGUGUGCGAGAGCGAAAGGGCCCAGCAAUGGGGGGAGGGACAUGUGCUAAAUGGUGCUGAGAAGGACAGAUGUUGGGAGAUCUCUGCCGCCGUCUAGGAAGUAGGGCUGAGGCAUGGGACACGUGGAGGACGUGGAGGGUGGACAUCCGGGCGGCUUCGGGGAAUGCUCUCUCUGUAGGUAAAUCAACUGAUGGGAAGAAGAGGGAGAGAAGAGAGCCUAGAAAGGAGGCCCACCUUCAGGCUAAAUCCUGACUUUGUGCAAAUUAAAGAAAGAUGUGUUUUUCCCAGGGACUUGACUUCUACCUGCAGAAAAGCAUGCUGUUUACAACACUCUUAGGUGAACAGUGUCCCUGGACGUUCCACACCCCCCUGCUGCUCAGCAGCCCUCAGAGCCAUCUCCAGGCCCCAGGCUGGGUGAGGGAGACAGGGUGGUAUGGGAGGGACUCCUGAGAGGAAUGGGCAAGAUGGCAGACAGCUGUUUUUAAGAGAAGCGGCACCGAGUUUUGGGUGUCUCUGGCGCCGUGGUUCUCAGACUGUAGGGGAGUCAGAUACACAUUGGGGGAGGGGAGGGGUGAUAUUAACCCACAGAUUGCCAGGCCCCACAUCAGAGUUUCUGAUUUGGUAGGUCUGGGCUGGCGCCUGGGAAUCUGCAUUUCUACCAAAUUCCCAGGUGAUGCUCCUGCUAGUUUGGGACCAGGCGUGGAGAAGGGUGCUUCUCGCCCCCAGCUGUGCAUUAGAAGCACAGUGGAAGUUUUUUCUAAAUGCUCAAGUCAGAGCCUGUCCCAACCCACCUGGAUCGGAAUCCAUAGAACAUCUGGAGGGCUUCCCUCCGCCUCCAUGUGAGGUUCAAAGACAGCACCUCUGGGGGCACCUCAGGGCUAAAGAUGCUGCAGUGUGGGAGCUGAAGAGUAUUAGCAAAUGCUCUGCUUUCUGCUCAUGAAUUUUCACCAUUUUGUCUCCAACACCCUCCUGAUUGCCAUGAUGAGGCCUCAGUUUCCCCUUUUGCUCCGAGAUGUGUACCAAACUGGCCAGAACUGUCCCGUCUCCCUCCCAGGAUCAUUUAUUUCACAUUUGCUUCUUUCCCAAUAAGCACUUGACACUUUGCUUUUUCUAGCUCUUAUUUCAGCAGUUCCUCUUCUGCCUUUCCCGUGGGUGGGUCAUGCAGCUUUCUGCAGUCCUGCUACCCUCCGCCUCCCUUCUCUGACAUGACCUCCUCCCACCACAGCCCUGGCCCCACCCCUGCACCUCAUGGCCACCCAGCUGUUCGGCGCCAACGUGUCUUAUCUCCCAAUGGGAUUAUUUGAGCGUCUGCAGGAACUAAGAGAAGCGAGUCCUUUCUCACAAGAUGGUAGUGAAAACAUGAGGUAGCAUAAGGUAUGUGUAGGCUAGAAGUAAAUAUGGGUCUGAAAUUUCACAUAAUUACAUAAUAGAGAGGUGUUGCCAAGGUAAAUUAAUAAGGAAACAGUUGGCUGAUGUUUACCAACAAAAUCAGUAUGGGGCUUGUUCCUCCCUGCUUUUUCUUUCUCAAAUGAGCCAUGAAUUGGAAGACAGUAGUCCCCCCUAUCCGCGAUUUUGCUUCCUGCAUUUUCAGUUACCUGUGGUCAAGCGCAGUCCAAAAAAAAUAAAUAAAUGGAAAAUUCCAGAAAUAAACAACUCGUAAGUUUUAAAUUGCAUGUUGUUCUGAGCAGUGUGAUGAAAUCCCAUGCCUUCCUGCUCUGUCCUGCCCAGACGUGAAUCACCCCUUCGUCCAGUGUCUCCACGCUGUAUACACUCUCUGCCUGUGAGUGGCUUAGUGGCCGCCUCAGUUAUCAGCUCAACUACUGAAGUAUCGCAGUGUUUGCGUACAAGUCACCCUUAUUGUACUGAAUAACGGCCCCAAAGUUCAAGAGCAGUGGUGCUGGCAAUUUGGAUAUGCCAAAGAAAAGCCAUAAAGUGCUUCCUAUAUGUGAAAAGGUAUGUAUGUAGAGGGGGGAAAGCAUAGUACAUACAGGGUUUGGCACUACCCACAGUUUCAAGCAUCCACUGGGGGUGUUGGAAUAUAUCCCCCAUGAAUAAGGGGGGACUACGUCUCAAAAGUGGCAAACUCUUCAUGGAAGUGACCAAAUCAUUCCGUUUGGUCAGACUGUCUAGAAACUAGGGAAAUUGCCAAGGUCAGGCCUGGGAGCUACAUGGGGGCUCCUCUGCCCACUGUCUGUCUGUCUCUCUCUUUCAUGUCUGUCUUGUCUCUCCAUCUGUCCUGCUCCCUAUGCUAUUCUCGCAGCAUUGGAACAAUAAGGCCAGGGGUCUUAAACUCAUAGUCUCGAUGUCUGCCUUAACUUUGCGUGCUCUGACAUCAAAAGUCCUGGAUGACAAAACUGAGAUUCAAAUCAUAUUCAUUGUCAGUAUCAUGUAGGCA